UACGUAGGGGGCGAGCGUUGUCCGGAUUUAUUGGGCGUAAAGAGCUCGUAGGCGGUUUGGUAAGUCGGGUGUGAAAUCUCCACGCUCAACGUGGAGGGGCCACUCGAUACUGCCAUGACUCGAGUCCGGUAGAGGAGUGUGGAAUUCCCAGUGUAGAGGUGAAAUUCGUAGAUAUUGGGAAGAACACCGGUGGCGAAGGCGGCUCACUGGCUCAUUACUGACGCUCAGGCGCGAUAGCGUGGGGAUCAAACAGG
rnacentral:rRNA from 1 species